CAGUAGCCACGGUAAUACAGAGGGUGCGAGCGUUAAUCGGAAUUACUGGGCGUAAAGCGCGCGUAGGUGGUUUGUUAAGUUGGAUGUGAAAGCCCCGGGCUCAACCUGGGAACUGCAUCCAAAACUGGCAAGCUAGAGUACGGUAGAGGGUGGUGGAAUUUCCUGUGUAGCGGUGAAAUGCGUAGAUAUAGGAAGGAACACCAGUGGCGAAGGCGACCACCUGGACUGAUACUGACACUGAGGUGCGAAAGCGUGGGGAGCAAACAGGAUUAGAUACCCCAGUAGUCCCUGUCUCUUAUAU
rnacentral:rRNA from 1 species